UACGUAGGGUCCGAGCGUUGUCCGGAAUUACUGGGCGUAAAGAGCUCGUAGGUGGUUUGUCGCGUUGUCCGUGAAAACUCACAGCUUAACUGUGGGCGUGCGGGCGAUACGGGCAGACUGGAGUACUGCAGGGGAGACUGGAAUUCCUGGUGUAGCGGUGGAAUGCGCGGAUAUCAGGAGGAACACCGGUGGCGAAGGCGGGUCUCUGGGGCAGUAACUGACGCUGAGGAGCGAAAGCGUGGGGAGCGAACA
rnacentral:rRNA from 1 species